rnacentral:lncRNA from 1 species
UAGACCGGAGAAGCCAAAGAUAUUCGCAGAGCCGAAGCCUUUGACUUUCAAACCGUCACGUCGCGCAACGUCUACGCCGCAGGGUAACCAGACCAUGAACUGCUACGUGGUCAGAAUCGAGGAGGGUUUUCAGUCUUGGGUGCUACGGCAGUUCAGCUUCAGUAUGGCUUCAGCGACAAGAGCGGCGACAUCAGGAGCGACAUCAGUAGCAACGCAGAUUCCACAGAGCGACGACGGAGAGAGAGAACGAUGACCAUUGCGCGAUGCAAGCAAAUCAGGACAUCAACGAGUCUCUCCAAAGCUCCACUCCUCUCCAUCCCGUUCCGGUAGAGAUGGAUCUGCAACACAUGAGACGUACAACUCCUUUUUUUGCGGAGGUCGCAUAUCUUCCAACGUCGGAGAUGCUGUCGCCGCAGUUAUGACCCCCUGGACUUCCCC